rnacentral:rRNA from 1 species
AUUGAACGCUGGCGGCGUGCCUAACACAUGCAAGUCGAGCGGUAACAGGUGUAGCAAUACAUGCUGACGAGCGGCGAACGGGUGAGUAAUGCUUCGGAAUCUGCCCAUGUAGUGGGGAAUAACCAGCCGAAAGGUUGGCUAAUACCGCAUACGACCUACGGGUGAAAGCAGGGGAUCGCAAGACCUUGCGCUAUUGGAUGAGCCGAAGUCGGAUUAGCNGUUGGUAGGGUAACGGCCUACCAAGGCGACGAUCCGUAGCUGGUCUUGAGAGGACGACCAGCCACACUGGGACUGAGACACGGCCCAGACUCCUACCGGAGGCAGCAGUGGGGAAUAUUGGACAAUGGGCGCAAGCCUGAUCCAGCGAUG